GACGAACGCUGGCGGCGUGCUUAACACAUGCAAGUCGAACGGAAAGGCCCUGCUUGCAGGGUACUCGAGUGGCGAACGGGUGAGUAACACGUGGGUGAUCUGCCCUGCACUUUGGGAUAAGCCUGGGAAACUGGGUCUAAUACCGGCUAGGAGCCCUUUUUAGUGUGAUGGUUGGAAAGUUUUUUCGGUGUAGGAUGAGCUCGCGGCCUAUCAGCUUGUUGGUGGGGUAAUGGCCUACCAAGGCGGCGACGGGUAGCCGGCCUGAGAGGGUGGACGGCCACAUUGGGCCUGCGAUCCGGCCCAGACUCCUGCGUGAGGCAGUAGUGGGGAAUUUUGCACAAUGGAAGCAAGCCUGAUGCAGCGACGCCGCGUGGGGGAUGACGGCCUUCGGGUUGUACACUCCUUUCGAUAGGGACGAAGCUUUUGUGACGGUACCUAGAUCAGAAGCACCGGCUAACUACGUG
rnacentral:rRNA from 1 species